UACGUAGGGGGCAAGCGUUGUCCGGAAUCAUUGGGCGUAAAGAGCGUGUAGGCGGCUUGGUAAGUCCGCUCUGAAAGCUCGGGGCUCAACCCCGGGAGGCGGGUGGAUACUGUCAAGCUCGAGUCCGGAAGAGGCGAGUGGAAUUCCUGGUGUAGCGGUGAAAUGCGCAGAUAUCAGGAGGAACACCAAUGGCGAAGGCAGCUCGCUGGGACGUGACUGACGCUGAGACGCGAAAGCGUGGGGAGCAAACAGG
rnacentral:rRNA from 1 species